rnacentral:rRNA from 1 species
GAUGAACGCUAGCGGCAGGCCUAAUACAUGCAAGUCGAGGGGCAGCGGGUUCAGCAAUGAAUGCCGGCGACCGGCGCACGGGUGCGUAACGCGUAUGCAACCUACCUUUUACUGGGGAAUAGCCCGGAGAAAUUCGGAUUAAUACCCCAUAAUAUCAUAUGAGAGCAUUUGAGUAUGAUUAAAGAUUUAUCGGUAAAGAUGGGCAUGCGUGACAUUAGCAGUUGGUGAGGUAAUGGCUCACCAAGGCGACGAUGUCUAGGGGAUCUGAGAGGACCUACCCC